CGUCAAGGGGAGAAUAACCAGACAAACAUGAGUGAAAAGUUCAAUCCUAAUGAAGAUGCAGCACUGAAGAGUGUCAGGAUGAGGGGUUUGAAUCGGUCUCCUCCUCUAAGUAAAGAACUGAUGAUGCAACGGUCUUUUGUUCAACGUGAAUCCCCCCAGUUGACAAAGUUCUCAGACUCGGUAGCUGCUAGAAGUGCAUCACAUUUUUCUAUAGCGAAUUAACGGUGGUUUAAUAACAAAAAGAUGGUGAUGGGCCACCACGUUUUUCGGGUUAAACCCAAAGAUUUUACAAAAGAGAGAAUCCACCGGGUGACAGUGAAAAAACAGAAAGAAUAAACAUCUCAUGGUCAUUAACUACUGCAGGAGGAAACUUAGAUGUAAUGCUAAAAGAACAUGAAAGACACAUUCUAUUAGUUGUUUGAGUGGAUAAAAAGACUAAUAGGGACAGGCUCAAGCGUCUCUUGCUACAAAUGGCAUCAGACAAGAAUCUUUUAGGACUAAUCAAAAGGAAAAAAAGGUUUGAGGUUUCACAACUUAGAGUCAGUUGAUCUUUUGGUGAGGUCUUGUGUAAAGUUGAAAGCUAAAAUUGUGAAAAGAAGAAAUCAACAGAAACAAAGAAGAAAAAAGAACUUCAACCACCAUUAAACCCGAGAAACUUUAAUGUUAACCUUUUUGUAUUCUCAUCUGAUUUGCAAUUGUUGCUUAGAGAUUUAAUUUUGAAAAGAUAUUGAAAUUCAAGAACAUGAUUACUGAUCUCAAACCCUGAAAAUGAGCCAA